CGUGAGGCCCGAAGCCUGAAUUUCUGGGUCCUUCAAAAUGAGGAAGUCAGGACUGGCCUACACUCUGGCGUUCUAGAAAGCGGGUACUGCCGGGUCCCAAGCAGGCAAGGAGGAAGAGCGCGAGCCACAACAACACAGAAGUGCCCCAAGGAAGGAGAUGUUGUUUUAACAGCGAGAGAGUGGAGAAGGGCAGAGGGAGAGGAGAGA